GGUGGCUCAGUGGUAGAGCGCUUGCCUUUGCCUUGCAUGCAUGAGGCCCUGGGUUCGAUUCCUCAGCACCA
rnacentral:tRNA from 1 species